rnacentral:rRNA from 1 species
UACGGAGGGUGCAAGCGUUGGUCGGAAUCAUUGGGCGUAAAGCGCGUGUAGGCGGCUAGGCAAGUCGGUUGUGAAAGCCCGGGGCCCAACCCCGGAACUGCAUCUGAAACUGCCUGGCUAGAGUCCCGGAGAGGAAGGCAGAAUUCCCGGUGUAGGGGUGAAAUCCGUAGAUAUCGGGAGGAAUACCAGCGGCGAAGGCGGCCUUCUGGACGGUGACUGACGCUGAGACGCGAAAGCGUGGGGAGCAAACAGG